rnacentral:rRNA from 1 species
GUGGGGAAUAUUCCGCAAUGGACGAAAGUCUGACGGAGCAACGCCGCGUGAGUGAUGAAGGUUUUCGGACUGUAAAGCUCUGUUGUUUGGGACGAAAGUGCCUGUUGCGAACAGUUACGGGUAUUGACGGUACUAAACGAGGAAGCCACGGCUAACUACGUGCCAGCAGCCGCGGUAAUACGUAGGUGGCAAGCGUUGUCCGGAAUUAUUGGGCGUAAAGAGCAUGUAGGCGGGAAUCUAAGUCUGUUGUUAAAAUGCGGGGCUCAACCCCGUAUUGCGAUGGAAACUGGGUUUCUUGAGUGCAGGAGAGGAAAGGGGAAUUCCCAGUGUAGCGGUGAAAUGCGUAGAUAUUGGGAGGAACACCAGUGGCGAAGGCGCCUUUCUGGACUGUGUCUGACGCUGAGAUGCGAAAGCCAGGGUAGCGAACGGGAUUAGAUACCCGUGUAGUCC